rnacentral:tRNA from 1 species
GCCGAAGUGGUGGAAUUGGCAGACACGCCAGACUUAGGAUCUGGUGCCUUCGGGCGUGGGAGUUCGAGUCUCCCCUUCGGUACCA